rnacentral:tRNA from 1 species
CGCGGUGAUAGGUGGAGACACGCGCGGGACCGCUCCUGGUUGGCUCAUAACCCAGAGGUCGCAGGUUCAAAUCCUGUCCCCGCUA